AGCGUACCUUCUCGCACAGUUCUUCACACUUUACUCGUGACUUUGCUGACAUCAUCUGGUCUUAUCUAAAGGCUUUGGGAAAAUGGAAAGGGCUUUUAGACUGAUUUUUAUUGAUCUUCUUCUUCCUUGCCUCGCUGAUAAGAUAUUUGACGUGCUUUCGUGCUAUGUACUUUGAAACACCAGAAUGCUUCUUGUAACAUUGUAUUGAUUUCGAAACGUCUUCUCUUUUCGGUUCAUCCUAAUCCUAUACAAGAUUAUACAUGUAAAGUCAUUUGCAAGAUAUUAGUACUUGCAGGUGUAAACCAUGCCGGCACAUUUAUAGGACAGCAAAACAUGCACGUCGUAAAAGAAUUGCAUGAAGACAAAGAAUUGUGGAGACCUUGUCUAAUACGUUGAACAUAACAAAAUGAGGUGCCCAGAAAGAGAAUUGGAUGGAGAGUAAAGAAUUAAUUCAACAAAAAGGAUUCAAUCAGAUUGGUAAGUAAGCGCAAAUGAAAAAGAAAAAAGUUAAACUUCAAACUUUCUUACAUCGGGCAAUUUUUAGUCCAUUUUUUAAGUCCCGAUACUGGCUUUGCAUGUAUCGACCUAAGCGUACAAAAUCUGUAGCUUAAGGCUUGGGGCUCGGAUUUGGCUAAAGAUCUCUGACGCUGGUCGCCUCCGGCGAAGUGCAGCAAGAUUUUUUGAGUUUUCGGCCUCUUGUCAACCAAAACUAUCAGGAACUCAUCACACAACACCUCGUGACACCAGUAUUCUGUUAGAGGUUCGUUACGAAGUGUUUAAAAACUGGAGACGUUCUAUUAGAGGUUCGUUACAACAUGAACGGGUUUUGCAAAGAGGCUUUAGUUUAUAUGACCUACGGAACUGGAGGGAUUCUAUUUUAGUGAUAAGGAUACUUGGUCUUCAUAUUCAGUAUCAUUCCAUACUUGUGUAAGUUGCUCGGUUUCAGUUUCUUCAGAGUACCAACGCCGGCUAAUUACGGUCAAACUUAGUGUUUCCAGUUAUGACAAGCUUAACAUUGACAUAUCUAUCAUAUAUAUUAACUAAUUUUCUGUAGUGAUGAACUUUUUCUAUGAAAUCUAUUAUUACGAUCAUCCAUAUCAUCUUUGUUUAUUUGUGUUA